CUUCAAAUGUCCACAAUGACAUAUGUGGUCAUUGUGGUAUGCAUAUGUUUGAUAGUUUACUUGGGCAAACAUCCACUUCAUCAAGCCUACAGCAUGAUGCCAGCUUCUCUUUCCUUUGGGUACCAGUACACAGAUGCUGAAAAUGUCUUCCUACUGUGACACGUUGGCUUUGGUCAAAUGGGUCCCAGGAAAGAAAGCUCCUGAGCAGCUCCUGGAGUAUGGGAAAAACAUUAUCCCAGAUACAACACAGGUGGAGGCCGGUAACGAGCAGAGUCCCCCAGGGCUCUGUCUUGGGAUUGGUGCUCUUUAACAUCUUUAUCAAUGACAUCGACGAUGGAAUUGAGUGCACCCUCAGCAAAUUUGCUGACGACACCAAGCUGAGUGGUGCGGUCGACACGGAGGAAGGAAGGGAUGCCAUUCAGAGGGACCUGGACAGACUUGAAAGGUGGGCCCGGCUGAACCUAAUGUGGUUCAACACGGCAAAGUGCAAGGUUUUGCACUUGGGCUGGAGGAACCCCAGGCAUCUAUAAAGACUGGAAGGAGCAGCCCUUGAGAGCAGCUCUGCAGAGAAGGACCUGGUGGUCCUGAUGGAUGACAAACUUAACAUGAGCCAGCAGUGUGCUCUUCCAACUCAGAAAGCAAAUGAUAUCCUGGACUACAUCAGAAGAGGGGUGGCCAGCAGGGACAGGGAGGUGAUUGUCCCUCUCUACUCUGCUCUUGUGAGGCCCCAUCUGGAGUACUGUGUCCAGGACCUGUUAUCAGUGCUGGAGGGAGCUUGACUCAGCCCAUGACAGUGUGUCAACUCAAGUCCAUGCACCGAUGCACUCAGCUACAUCCUGCAGCAGAGCAGGAGUGGAAGGAGAAUACACCUCCUGGGUGCUGCAGGGGAGGAGGAGGCUGCCAGCUGCCAGCUGCUACUGGGACACAGCAGGAAAAGGGGCCACAGUACCCAAGCUGGGGUCCUGAGAGCAAAAUCAGGUGUGCUGCUUCUGCUUUGAGCUCAAAAUAAUUUCUGAAGGCAGGUAGGCAGGC
ensembl:lncRNA